UAGGGAAUCUUCCGCAAUGGACGAAAGUCUGAUGGAGCAACGCCGCGUGAGUGAUGAAGGGUUUCGGCUCGUAAACUCUGUUGUUGGAGAAGAACAGGUGUGAGAGUAACUGUUCACAUCUUGACGGUAUCCAACCAGAAAGCCACGGCUAACUACGUGCCAGCAGCCGCGGUAAUACGUAGGUGGCAAGCGUUGUCCGGAUUUAUUGGGCGUAAAGCGAGCGCAGGCGGUUUCUUAGGUCUGAUGUGAAAGCCUUCGGCUUAACCGGAGAAGUGCAUCGGAAACCAGGAGACUUGAGUGCAGAAGAGGGCAGUGGAACUCCAUGUGUAGCGGUGAAAUGCGUAGAUAUAUGGAAGAACACCAGUGGCGAAGGCGGCUGUCUGGUCUGUAACUGACGCUGAGGCUCGAAAGCAUGGGUAGCGAACAGGAUUAGAUACCCUGGUAGUCCAUGCCGUAAACGAUGAGUAGC
rnacentral:rRNA from 1 species